rnacentral:rRNA from 1 species
AGUGAACGCUGGCGGUAUGCCUAACACAUGCAAGUCGAACGGCAGCACCGUAAGAGCUUGCUCUUACGGGCGGCGAGUGGCGGACGGGUGAGGAAUACAUCGCAAUCCACUUUUUCGUGGGGGAUAACGUAGGGAAACUUACGCUAAUACCGCAUACGACCUACUGGUGAAAGCAGGGGAUCUUCGGACCUUGCGCGAUUGAAUGAGCCUAUGUCGGAUUAGCUAGUUGGCGGGGUAAAGGCCCACCAAGGCGACGAUCCGUAGAUGGUCUGAGAGGAUGAUCAGCCACACUGGAACUGAGACACGGUCCAGACUCCUACGGGAGGCAGCAGUGGGGAAUCUUGGGCAAUGGGCGCAAGCCUGAUCCAGCAAUACCGCGUGGGUGAAGAAGGCCUUCGGGUUGUAAAGCCCUUUUGUUGGGAAAGAAAAGCAGCAGGUUAAUACCCCGCUGUUCUGACGGUACCCAAAGAAUAAGCACCGGCUAACUUCGUG